rnacentral:rRNA from 1 species
GACGAACGCUGGCGGCGUGCUUAACACAUGCAAGUCGAACGGAAAGGCCCUGCUUUUGUUGGGUGCUCGAGUGGCGAACGGGUGAGUAACACGUGAGUAACCUGCCCUUGACUGUGGGAUAACUUCAGGAAACUGGGGCUCAUACCGGAUAUGAGCUCCUGCGUCAUGUGGGGGGUUGGAAAGUUUCGGCGGUUGGUGAUGGACUCGCGGCUUAUCAGCUUGUUGGUGGGGUAGUGGCUGACCAAGGCUUUGCCGGGUAGCCGGCCUGAGAGGGUGACCGGCCACAUUGGGACUGAGAGACGGCCCAGACUGGUACGGGAGGCAGCAGUGGAGAAUAUUGCACAAUGGGCGGAAGCCUGAUGCAGCAACGCCGCGUGCGGGAUGACGGCCUGCGGGUUGUAAACCGCUUUCGCAUGUGACGAAGCGUGAGUGACGGUAAUGAGUAAAGAAGCACCGGCUAACUACGUG